UACGUAGGGGGCAAGCGUUGUCCGGAUUUAUUGGGCGUAAAGAGCGUGUAGGCGGUUUGGUAGGUCCGUUGUGAAAACUCGAGGCUCAACCUCGAGACGCCGAUGGAAACCAUCGAACUAGAGUCCGGAAGAGGAGAGUGGAAUUCCUGGUGUAGCGGUGAAAUGCGCAGAUAUCAGGAAGAACACCCGUGGCUAAGGCGGCUCUCUAGUACGGUACUGACGCUGAGACGCGAAAGCGUGGGGAGCGAACAGG
rnacentral:rRNA from 1 species